rnacentral:rRNA from 1 species
UGGACGACUCUCGGCAACGGAUAUCUCGGCUCUCGCAUCGAUGAAGAACGUAGCGAAAUGCGAUACCUGGUGUGAAUUGCAGAAUCCCGUGAACCAUCGAGUCUUUGAACGCAAGUUGCGCCCGAGGCCAUCCGGCUAAGGGGACGCCUGCCUGGGCGUCACGC